GACGAACGUUGGCGGCGUGCUUAAUACAUGCAAGUCAACUGAAGCAGUGGUAGCAAUAUCGCUGUGGAGGUGGCGCACGGGUGAGUAGCACGUAGGUAAUCUGCCUUCAGGUCUGGCAUAACUCCGGGAAACCGGGGCUAAUAGCAGAUGAUGCAGCGGCUCGACAUCGAGACAGUUGUUAAAGCUAUGGCGCCUGAAGAUGAGCCUGCGUCUGAUUAGCUAGUUGGCGGGGUAACGGCCCACCAAGGCAACGAUCAGUAGCUGGUCUGAGAGGAUGAUCAGCCACACUGGAACUGAGACACGGUCCAGACUCCUACGGGAGGCAGCAGUAAGGAAUAUUGCUCAAUGGGAGAAAUCCUGAAGCAGCAACGCCGCGUGAGGGACGAAGGGCUUUUGCUUGUAAACCUCUGUAGUGAGAGAAAAAAAUCCCAAUCUUUGGGACAUGAUGGUAUCUCAAAAGUAAGCCCCGGCUAACUACGUG
rnacentral:rRNA from 1 species